rnacentral:lncRNA from 8 species
AUGCAGGGUCACUAUAGCAACAGUGUUGUGAUGCAGGGUUACUAUCUCUGCUCUCUCUGCUCUCUCUCUACUCUCUGCUCUCUCUCUGCUCCCUGCUCUCUCUCUGCUCUCUCUGCUCUCUCUGCACUCUCUCUGCUCUCUCUGCACUCUCUGCUUUUCCUGCUCUCUAUGCUCUCUGUUCUCUCUGCUCUCUCGUCUCUCUCUCUUCUCUCUGCUCUCUCUCUCUUUUCUCUGCUGCUCUCUCUCUUUUCUCUGCUCUCUCUGCUCUCUCUCUGCUCUCUCUCUGCUCUUUCUGCUCUCUCUCUCUGCUCUCUCUCAGCCUGCUCCCUGCUCUCUCUCUGCUCUUUCUGCUCUCUCUCUCUGCUCUCUGCUCUGCUGCUCUCUCUCUGCUCUCUCUCUCUCUGCUCUGCUGCUCUCUCUUUUCUCUGCUCUCUGCUCUCUCUCUCUCUGCUCUCUCUCUCUGCUCUCUCUCUGCUCUCUGCUCUGCUGCUCUUUCUCUGCUCUCUCUCUUUCUCUGCUCUGCUGCUCUUUCUCUUUUCUCUGCCCUCGCUGCUCUCUCUCUGCUCUUUCUGCUCUCUCGCUCUGCUCUCUGCUCUCUUCUCACUCACUGCUCUCUGCUCUCUCUCUCUAUUCUCUCUCUCUGUUUUCUGCUCUCUCUCUCUGCUCUCUCAGCCUGCUCCCUCUCUCUGCGCUCUCUCUCCCUCUGCUCUCUCUGUUCUCUGCGCUCUCUCUCGCUCUGCUCUCUCUGCUCUCUGCUCUCCCUCUGCUCUCUCUGCUCUCUCUCUCCCUCUGCUCUCUCCUCUGCUCUCUCUCUCUCUCUGCUCUCUCUCUCACUGCUCUCUCCCUCUGCUCUCUCUCUCUGCUUUCCCUGCACUCUCUCUCUCUGCUCUUUGCUCUCUCUGCUCUCUCAGCCUGCUCUCUGUUCUCUGCUCUCUCUGUUCUCUGCUCUCUCAGCCUGCUCCCUCUCUCUUCUCUCUCUGCUCUCUCUCUCUGCUCUCUCUGCGCUCUCUCUCUCUGCUCUCUCUCUCUGCUCUCUCUCUCUCUCUUCUCUCUCUGCUCUCUCUGCUCUCUCUCUCUGCUCUCUCUCUCUGCUCUCUCUGCGCUCUCUCUCUCUGCGCUCUCUCUCUGCUCUCUCUGCUCUCUCUCUCUCUCUGCUCUCUCUGCUCUCUCUCUCUGCUCUCUCUGCUCUCUCUCUCUGCUCUCUCUGCUCUCUCUCUCUGCUCUCUCUGCUCUCUCUCUUUCUGCUCUCUCCCUCUCUGCUUUCGUGUCUUUGGUUAUGCCAGAUUAAGUGAUAUGACAUGCUAUCCUAUAAAAUCCUUUCUCUGUAAUUAA